GCUGCUGUAGCUCAACUGGAUAGAGCGAUGGUCUACGAAGCCAAAGGUUGCAGGUUCAAGCCCUGCCAGCAGCGCCA
rnacentral:tRNA from 1 species